CAGCCGCCGCGGGAAUACAGAGGGUGCGAGCGUUAAUCGGAUUUACUGGGCGUAAAGCGUGCGUAGGCGGCUUCUUAAGUCGGAUGUGAAAUCCCUGAGCUUAACUUAGGAAUUGCAUUCGAUACUGGGAAGCUAGAGUAUGGGAGAGGAUGGUAGAAUUCCAGGUGUAGCGGUGAAAUGCGUAGAGAUCUGGAGGAAUACCGAUGGCGAAGGCAGCCAUCUGGCCUAAUACUGACGCUGAGGUACGAAAGCAUGGGGAGCAAACAGGAUUAGAUACCCCAUAGUCCUGUCUCUUAUACAC
rnacentral:rRNA from 1 species